rnacentral:tRNA from 1 species
GGGCGAUUGGCGCAGUCUGGCUAGCGCGCUUCCUUGACACGGAAGAGGUCACUGGUUCAAGUCCAGUAUCGCCCACCA